GACACUGUGCUGAUACUCAAUUUGUGUUCUUCUUAAUACGCUUCACGGGAAAAACAUACAAACAUAGCUGGCAUGUUGGUUCCACCUGACUGUCACACAGUGACAGCUAUAAGUCCCUGGUAACACAAAAUACAUCUGUACUGCCAUCUGCAAGCUGAGCAAGUGAUUCUUCUCUUCUCACUUAUUCCUUUCCCUCCAGGAUCGAAAAUAAUGUGCUACUCGGGAG